rnacentral:rRNA from 1 species
AACGAACGCUGGCGGCGUGCCUAACACAUGCAAGUCGAGCGGGAAAGUUCCCUUCGGGGAGCAAGUACAGCGGCGAACGGGUGAGUAACACGUAGGUAACCUACCUUGGAGAUCGGGAUAACCUGCCGGAAAGGCGGGCUAAUACCGGAUAAGACCACGAGGGCUGCGGCCUUGAGGAAAAGAUGGCCUCUGCUUGCAAGCUAUCACUCUGGGAUGGGCCUGCGCGCCAUUAGCAGUUGGUGAGGUAACGGCUCACCAAGGCUGAGAUGGCUAGCUGGUCU